UGAACUAGGCUCCUUUGAUGGCCCUCACACCUUCUCCUAAGGUGUCUCCGCUCGUCGUCAUGCGGCGGUCGCAUCCUCCUUUAGCUGAGAUGCUUCAAAGUGGCUCCA